AUGAACGCUAGCGGCGUGCUUAAUGCAUGCAAGUCGAACGGUUCCGAUUUAUCGAAACAGUGGCAUACGGGUGAGUAACACGUAAGCAACCUGUCCUAAAGUGGGGAAUAACCCCGGGAAACCGGAGUUAAUACCGCAUGUGAUAGUGGAGCACAGGCUCUACUAUUAAAGCCGUAAGGCGCUAUAGGAGGGGCUUGCGGCCUAUCAGGUAGUUGGUGAGGUAACGGCCCACCAAGCCGAUGACGGGUAGCUGGUUUUAGAGGACGUCCAGCCACACUGGGACUGAGACACGGCCCAGACUCCUACGGGAGGCAGCAGCAAGGAAUUUUGUGCAAUGGGCGAAAGCCUGACACAGCGACGCCGCGUGAGGGAAGAAGGCCUUCGGGUUGUAAACCUCUUUUCUCAGGGAAGAAUAAUGACGGUACCUGAGGAAUAAGUCACGGCUAACUACGU
rnacentral:rRNA from 1 species